rnacentral:rRNA from 1 species
ACGUACACUCCUACGGGAGGCAGCAGUAGGGAAUCUUCGGCAAUGGGGGCAACCCUGACCGAGCAACGCCGCGUGAGUGAAGAAGGUUUUCGGAUCGUAAAGCUCUGUUGUAAGUCAAGAACGAGUGUGAGAGUGGAAAGUUCACACUGUGACGGUAGCUUACCAGAAAGGGACGGCUAACUACGUGCCAGCAGCCGCGGUAAUACGUAGGUCCCGAGCGUUGUCCGGAUUUAUUGGGCGUAAAGCGAGCGCAGGCGGUUUGAUAAGUCUGAAGUUAAAGGCUGUGGCUCAACCAUAGUUCGCUUUGGAAACUGUCAAACUUGAGUGCAGAAGGGGAGAGUGGAAUUCCAUGUGUAGCGGUGAAAUGCGUAGAUAUAUGGAGGAACACCGGUGGCGAAAGCGGCUCUCUGGUCUGUAACUGACGCUGAGGCUCGAAAGCGUGGGGAGCGAACAGGAUUAGAAACCCGGGUAGUCCC